rnacentral:rRNA from 1 species
UACCCCAGAGUCUGGAAUAACCUGCCGAAAGGCGGGCUAAUACUGGAUAGAGCGAUGGAAUCCGUAAUUGGGUUUUUCGGGAAAGGGAGGAAGCAAUUCCCUUUGCUUUGGGAUGAGCCUGCGUCUCAUUAGCUAGUUGGUGAGGUAAUAGCUCACCAAGGCUUUGAUGGGUAGCUGGUCUGAGAGGAUGAUCAGCCACACUGGAACUGAAACACGGUCCAG